rnacentral:lncRNA from 12 species
UGAGGUGUUACUCUACCUAUUUUCUCCUCUGUUCUUUACAAAUGUUUUUUUUAAUUUAAGAGUCACCCUAUAAGAAUUACCUUCCCCCUCAAAAAACAAAACAGAAUGAACCAUCCUUGGCAGUCUGAGAAGCUGGAUCUGCAAGGACCACCAAGCACUCCAUAGAUUUACUUUCUGGCAAAGAACUAGGCAGACUGUUUCUCUGUAAACAACAGGAGAUAUACACUGAGCUACAGAAAAGGUUUUGCAAGCAGAACUGACCAGAAGUCACCUUCAAAAUAUUUGUAAGAGUCCAGCAGAAAAAUCAUUAUGUUCAUGUGAGAAAUAAAUAUAUAGCAUAGACUGAAAAGAAUACCACUACAGAAAAGGUUUUGCAAGCAGAACUGACCAGAAGUCACCUUCAAAAUAUUUGUAAGAGUCCAGCAGAAAAAUCAUUAUGUUCAUGUGAGAAAUAAAUAUAUAGCAUAGACAGAAA